AUACAAUGAAGAGUUUGAUCCUGGCUCAGGAUGAACGCUAGCGGCAGGCCUAACACAUGCAAGUCGAGGGGUAGAAAGUGCUUGCACUUUUGAGACCGGCGGACGGGUGAGUAACGCGUAUGCAAUCUGCCUUGUACAGGGGAAUAGCCCAGGGAAACUUGGAUUAAUGCCCCAUAGUAUUAUAGAACGGCAUUGUUUUAUAAUUAAAGAUUUAUCGGUACAAGAUGAGCAUGCGUCCCAUUAGCUAGUUGGUGUGGUAACGGCACACCAAGGCUACGAUGGGUAGGGGCCCUGAGAGGGGGAUCCCCCACACUGGUACUGAGACACGGACCAGACUCCUACGGGAGGCAGCAGUGAGGAAUAUUGGACAAUGGGCGAGAGCCUGAUCCAGCCAUGCCGCGUGCAGGAAGACAGCCCUAUGGGUCGUAAACUGCUUUUAUACGGGAAGAAACACCCCCUCGUGAGGGGGCUUGACGGUACCGUAUGAAUAAGGACCGGCUAACUCCGUGCCAGCAGCCGCGGUAAUACGGAGGGUCCGAGCGUUAUCCGGAAUCAUUGGGUUUAAAGGGUCCGUAGGCGGGCGAUUAAGUCAGUGGUGAAAGUCUGCAGCUCAACUGUAGAAUUGCCAUUGAUACUGGUUGUCUUGAAUCGUUGUGAAGUGGCUAGAAUAUGUGGUGUAGCGGUGAAAUGCUUAGAUAUCACAUAGAAUAC
rnacentral:rRNA from 1 species